rnacentral:lncRNA from 1 species
UAACACUAGAACGUUCCUUACGACGUAAGUAUCACUAUAUCGCCUCUCUUUUUCUUUGUAGUUGAAGUUUUGGAAGGUACUUCAUAGUUAAGAAAAUGUCUAAAUUUUGUAUUCAAGCUUUAAAUAUCAAGGAAGGCUGAUAGAUUUAUUUCCUAAUAGUUAGAAUUCACGGGAUAAUGAUCGAAAGCCGUGAGUUCAAGUUAUUCGACUUGUAGUGUACUAUUUUUUGGGAUGUGGCUAUAUAUAUGAUUUGUUGUGGCUGG